rnacentral:rRNA from 1 species
AGUGAACGCUGGCGGUAGGCCUAACACAUGCAAGUCGAACGGCAGCACAGUAAGAGCUUGCUCUUACGGGUGGCGAGUGGCGGACGGGUGAGGAAUACAUCGGAAUCUACUUUUUCGUGGGGGAUAAGGUAGGGAAACUUACGCUAAUACCGCAUACGACCUACGGGUGAAAGCAGGGGAUCUUCGGACCUUGCGCGAUUGAAUGAGCGGAUGUCGGAUUAGCUAGUUGGCGGGGUAAAGGCCCACCAAGGCGACGAUCCGUAGCUGGUCUGAGAGGAUGAUCAGCCACACUGGAACUGAGACACGGUCCAGACUCCUACGGGAGGCAGCAGUGGGGAAUAUUGGACAAUGGGCGCAAGCCUGAUCCAGCCAUACCGCGUGGGUGAAGAAGGCCUUCGGGUUGUAAAGCCCUUUUGUUGGGAAAGAAAAGCAGCAGGUUAAUACCCCGCUGUUCUGACGGUACCCAAAGAAUAAGCACCGGCUAACUUCGUG